rnacentral:ncRNA from 1 species
CGGCUCAACUUAUCCUGGGGGUGGAGAAGCUCCCAAGGGUCCGGCUGUUCGCCGGUUAAAAAGUUACGUGAGCUGG